rnacentral:rRNA from 1 species
GGCGAACGCUGGCGGCGUGCUUAACACAUGCAAGUCGAACGGAAAGGCCCUGCUUGCAGGGUACUCGAGUGGCGAACGGGUGAGUAACACGUGGGUGAUCUGCCCUGCACUUCGGGAUAAGCUUGGGAAACUGGGUCUAAUACCGGAUAGGAGCCAUCUUUAGUGUGGUGGUUGGAAAGUUUUUUCGGUGUAGGAUGAGCUCGCGGCCUAUCAGCUUGUUGGUGGGGUAAUGGCCUACCAAGGCGGCGACGGGUAGCCGGCCUGAGAGGGUGUACGGCCACAUUGGGACUGAGAUACGGCCCAGACUCCUACGGGAGGCAGCAGUGGGGAAUAUUGCACAAUGGGCGCAAGCCUGAUGCAGCGACGCCGCGUGGGGGAUGAAGGCCUUCGGGUUGUAAACUCCUUUCGCUAGGGACGAAGCUUUUUGUGACGGUACCUAGAGAAGAAGCACCGGCUAACUACGUG